rnacentral:rRNA from 1 species
UGAAUUGACGGGGCCGCACAAGCGGUGGAGCAUGUGGUUAAUUCGACGCAACGCGAAGAACCUUACCAGGGCUUGACAUCCCCUGACCGCGUAUGAAAGUACGUUUUCACCCUCGGGCGACAGGGAGACAGGUGGUGCAUGGUUGUCGUCAGCUCGUGUCGUGAGAUGCUGGGUUAAGUCCCGCAACGAGCGCAACCCCUACGUUUAGUUGCUAACGCGUGAAGGCGAGCACUCUAGACGAACUGCCGUUGACAAAACGGAGGAAGGUGGGAUGACGUCAAAUCAUCAUGCCCCUUAUGUUCUGGGCUACACACGUGCUACAAUGGCCGGUACAGACGGACGCAAAGCCGCGAGGUGGAGCAAAUCCUAAAAAGCCGGUCUCAGUUCGGAUUGCAGGCUGCAAUUCGCCUGCAUGAAGUCGGAAUCGCUAGUAAUCGCAGGUCAGCAUACUGCGGUGAAUACGUUCCCGGGCCUU